rnacentral:rRNA from 1 species
GACGAACGCUGGCGGCGUGCCUAAUACAUGCAAGUUGAGCGCUGAAGGUUGGUACUUGUACCAACUGGAUGAGCAGCGAACGGGUGAGUAACGCGUGGGGAAUCUGCCUUUGAGCGGGGGACAACAUUUGGAAACGAAUGCUAAUACCGCAUAAAAACUUUAAACACAAGUUUUAAGUUUGAAAGAUGCAAUUGCAUCACUCAAAGAUGAUCCCGCGUUGUAUUAGCUAGUUGGUGAGGUAAAGGCUCACCAAGGCGAUGAUACAUAGCCGACCUGAGAGGGUGAUCGGCCACAUUGGGACUGAGACACGGCCCAAACUCCUACGGGAGGCAGCAGUAGGGAAUCUUCGGCAAGGGACGAAAGUCUGACCGAGCAACGCCGCGUGAGCGAAGAAGGUUGUCGGAUCGGAAAACUCGGUUGGUAGAGAAGAACGUUGGUGAGAGUGGAAAGCUCAUCAAGUGACGGUAACUACACAGAAAGGGACGGCUAACUACGUG